GGAAGUAAAAAUCGUAACAAGGUCUCCGUUGGUGAACCAGCGGAGGGAUCAUUACCGAGUUUACAACUCCCAAACCCCUGUGAACAUACCUGUUUUGUUGCUUCGGCGGUGCCCUCGCUCUCGCGGCGAGGCCCGCCAGAGGACCCAAACAAACUCUUUGACUUUGAUCUAGGAUUAUACUUCUGAGUGAUACAAAAAAUAAAAUCAAAACUUUCAACAACGGAUCUCUUGGUUCUG
rnacentral:misc_RNA from 1 species